UAUCUAGCUAGCAUCAAUCAAACCUCAUGUAGAACCACGAACAUGACACACACUUCUUCCAUGCCAUGGCUGGUGGGAUGGACGAUGCUUGCUCCAUGCUUUGACUAGGAGUAGGACACGAUAGGCGGGGAGCGCUCGGCAUCGGGCGGUCAUCCAUGAAGCGGGUGGCGUGGAUGCCAUGCGGCUCGUCGUCGGGCGUAGACGCGGGCACGAUCAUGAAGCGGAUGUCCAGCUCCGGGAUCUCUAUCCAGUGGCACAACUGCUCCAAUCGGUUCUGAAUCCCGGAAGAUAGUGUUAUGGAGUCACAAUUCAUGGCCACGUUGGGAUAUAAUAAGAAAUCUGAGAAGGUUUGCCCGUUGAUGGCAUAGGUUAACAAGAGACUUAUGAGGCUUUAUGAUGUAAUUAGAUAUGAUUGCUAGUUGUAUAUGUUGGUUGUCGUGUGAUGUGAGAUAGUAUGUUUGUACUUUUGUAUGUUGUAUGACGAAGCUUGAAAAUAAAUCAUAUAGUGGAAUUUGAAUGUGCA